rnacentral:lncRNA from 1 species
GCAAUAUAGUAUUUAUUUAGAUCUAAUACACAUCAAUUUGUUAAGCGUCUCAAACAUUAUAAAUAAAACAACAAUAAAGAUAGCAAAAUCAUUUCUCAGUCUAAAACUUCUCCUUCUCUUAUAAAAUAAACAACUAGUUAAAAUGUUGGCUGUACAUCUUUAAACAUAAGAUGCAGGACAUUUUUGUACAUAAGAAUUUAGAAGAAAAAUGUGAACUAGUGUUUCUCAGAAGUUGAUGCUUAGACAACCUGGGAUGAAAAUAGAUAAUCAUGUAUAUAAAUUUUCCUCUUAUCCUUGUUGACUAAGAUUGUCAGUUUACCUAACAAGGUCGGUGGUUUUCUCAGGGCACAACUGCUUCCUCCACCAAAAAAAACUGACCGCCACGAAAUAGCUCAAAAGAGGUGUUUAAAAGUGGUAUUACCAACAACCAAUCAAUCUCUCUGCAUCCUACUUUAUAUAUGAGUGAAGAUUUCAGGUAAGAUAAAUAAUGAUAUAGUCAACAUUACAACAUGGAGAAUUUGUUUUUUCUUUUUAUCUGAUUCCAGGCUUAAUUUUUUU